rnacentral:rRNA from 1 species
CCUACCUACGGGACGCAGCAGUGAGGAAUAUUGGUCAAUGGGCGCGAGCCUGAACCAGCCAAGUCGCGUGAGGGAAGACGGCCCUACGGGUUGUAAACCUCUUUUGCCGGGGGGCAACGGGCGCCACGUGUGGCGCCACUGAGAGUACCCGGAGAAAAAGCAUCGGCUAACUCCGUGCCAGCAGCCGCGGUAAUACGGAGGAUGCGAGCGUUAUCCGGAUUUAUUGGGUUUAAAGGGUGCGUAGGCGGAGCGUUAAGUCAGUGGUCAAAUUGAGGGGCUCAACCCCUUCCCGCCAUUGAAACUGG